ACCAGCUCUAGCGACACUCCAGAAUCCUGUCAGACAACAAGCACAACAAGAGCUGUUCUGCAAGUGGUCCAUGUUCCAGCGAUGCAGCCGGGUCUGUCUGCUCUCCUAUGCACAGUCACAACCCUCAUCUGCCUUGGUUUCAUCAACAGCCAGAGUGUCAACCAACCUGUAGCUGUGGAAGAUAUACAAGAAGGGCAAUCCGUAACCAUGGAAUGUGAAAUCACAGUCCCUUGGUCUGACUAUGCAAUGCAUUGGUAUCAACAGUCAUCCAAUGGAGAGAUGAUUCACCUAAUUUAUCUGUAUUCUAGGAACAGCUAUCAAAGAACAGAACGCUAUACUUUGGUGUUUCACAAAUCAGAGAAGCUCCUAAGGUUCACCAUCUCAGCCUUGACCUUCAGAGACUCAGCUGUCUAUUUCUGUGCUGUCGCAGACAGCACGGUGAGAACAGUAACAGACAAAGCCUUACAAAAAGCCUCAGCAGUAGAGAGCCACGUGCUCCAGGAGCUCAGGAGAGCAGCCCAUAGGACAGGAAGAGGGUAA